rnacentral:rRNA from 1 species
CCUACGGGUGGCAGCAGUGGGGAAUAUUGCACAAUGGGGGAAACCCUGAUGCAGCGACGCCGCGUGAAGGAAGAAGUAUUUCGGUAUGUAAACUUCUAUCAGCAGGGAAGAAAAUGCCGGUACCUGACUCAGAAGCCCCGGCCAACUACGUGCCAGCAGCCGCGGUAAUACGUAGGGGGCAAGCGUAAUCCGGAUUUACUGGGUGUAAAGGGAGCGUAGGCGGUUUAGCAAGUCAGAAGUGAAAGCCCGGGGCUCAAACCCGGGACUGCUGUUGAAACUGUUGAACUUGAUUGGAGGAGAGGUAAGUGGAAUGCCUAGUGUAGCGGUGAAAUGCGUAGAUAUUAGGAGGAACACCAGUGGCGAAGGCAGCUUACUGGACGGGAAAUGACGCUGAGGCUCGAAAGCGUGGGUAGCAAACAGGAUUAGAUACCCGUGUAGUC